UUUGUUUCUCUAGAUGCAGAUGGCAUCCAUCUGGAGGUAGAGUCAUAACAGGGUUCCAAUCUGGCUUUUGCUACUUACCUAUGUGACUUUAAGCAAGACUUGAUUUCCUUAGCUAUUGGACACUUUCCAGUGCUAAAAUCCUAUAAUUUUAAGAAUCUUUCUAUCUCUGGAAGUCAUCAUAAGCUGGAUAACUCCUUGUCAUCAGACCAUAGAACUAGAGCUGGGAGAGAAUGGUCCUGUGUGCAGUCCUCAGAGAUAGUCACCAGAUGGCAGCCAAGCUCUAAGAAAAAACAUUUCCAACUGGUGGCAGAAGCUCAAAUGUGAAGAGCGGAUAGGAAAACAUCAAGCUGAUGAAGGAAAAGUAUGAAGCAAGAGAAGAGGAGGCAAAAGGAAAAAAAGAAAGAAGAAGGUAAAAAAGAAGAGGUA